CAGGACUCCAUUUUACACCAUCCAUGCUGCUGAAAAGACACAGUUUGCAUCUCUCCUUAUGAUAGAAUCGCUGAUACCCUCCACUAGAAUCUUACGCAGGUCCAAUCGGGCAGACCCUUGCCCGACCUGGACCCACAGACCUGCAAGCAGCCCUGACCCGCCACCCACUACCGGAGCAAACCGGCAAACAGCUUGCUUACCCACCAACUCGGUGCCCGCGAAAACUGUAAAGUGACUUCACUUUUAACCGGAUGUGGCACCACACGGGACCCUAUUCUGCUAGGUACAUGGCCCAGGGCAGCUACAAGGGCACUAGGAGAGAAGUCAAGAUGGUGACACAGAGUUUUCUAGGAUUGUAGAGCAGGCCAGUGUGUUUUAUCAGUGAAGAGGAGAUUAUAAUCACUGCCAGCCAGGAGGAAUUUAGGAAUGAAAGGCCAGAGACAAUAUUAUUUUCCCUUGAUGUGGCUUCAUUCUCCUGGGAUCCGAGGAAUGACAGAUUCCCAUCAUAUGGCCUGAAGAGCUUUGCUGAUGGCUGUGUGAAAGGUAAAAAAUAUUUUUGUUAAAAUGAUACAAAAUAUCUAUUAGGAGCAAGAGAAUAGUCACAGUAUUUGUGUUGUGUUUAGUGUGGUUAGAUGGUUUUAGUUGUAAAAAGAGCAGGUUUUGUUUCAGUUUGCCAUGUAUUUCAUAUCAUUAUACAAUAAAGAUUACAAUAAAACUAUCCAGCCUUUAGACAUGGAAGUGCAAUAAUAAUGCUUUCUGAGAGACAUCUCCAUAUGUGUAUAGAUAUUCAUGUGUGUGUAAAUAUGGUGACUAAUGUGUUUAAUAUUUAAAUAAAUAACUUCCACAAAUGAACCCACUGCUUUCACAUUCAUCUGUCACAAAUCUUGUACUUACUUUGCGUGGCUGGAAAGGGGGAUCUGCUCCUUCCUCUUCCAGCACCACCCAGUCGAUGGGCUCAAAGAACGGGUGGCACCUGAUGUCUCCUCUGGCCCCGAGCCGUCGCCUCGGCUUCUUUUUGAGGAGCUAAAGGUUCAAAGAGCAAUUAUUUUAAUACCACUGAUUUUAUACUCUCUAAAAUACCCAUCAAUGAAAUUACUGCAAAUGAUUCAUAGGUUUGCAAGUUAAUUAUUCAAAUCGCUAAUAGGUUUUUAUGAUACAUUAUAGAACGUGUGGUUUCAGAAUGUAACAUGAAACUCUUGUAGCUCAUUCAUGUUAUUGUAUAACCCUAUAAGAAUGCAAAGGUGAUAAAAGGUUUUAACUAAGGCAAUGCAGUAAAAUAAAAAAAUAUUUGUGUUACAAUACUAUUGUUGGAAUAAAUAAAAGUUGAAUGGACAUAUAUGCU